rnacentral:rRNA from 1 species
CGCCCAUACCGAGCCCGGUGAUGCUAACCGUCCGAACCGAUGCACCGUGGCCUUCGGGCCGCACCGCCACCGGGGAGCACGGGACCCGAACCGGUAGUAGGUAAGCGUAUUAACA